GACCUAAAUGGUUAGGGACUAAGAAAUAUACAGUCAAAGUAAGUAGCCUCACUGUGAAUAGCUAAUACACCACAGGUCAAAGGACCAGUCACACUACUGCAGCAUCGAGAAAACUACUGAUGAGUGAAUAGAUAUCCAAGUGAUUUCUCAUGUUAGUCAUGCUCAGUGUAAGUUAUUCUUUAACAACCAUCUGUACUCUCACUCCAAUAUCUUCACACCACAGAUUUGAGACUCAUCUGCCCGG
rnacentral:lncRNA from 1 species